CAUAAACCUUUGAGCAGAAGAGUAAAAACUUUAGUGGAGUUAGCGAAUCGAGGAUAGUGGAAGCUCGAGUGAAACGGAGUUUUGAAACGCAUCUGUGAGGUUUUUUUCUGAAACUAAGUAGGAAAAAACGUAGAAUUGCGUUAAAUUAACUGAAAGCGGAUAAUUUUUUAUCAAUCAGAGUGGUACCACGGCAACUAACCUGUCUCUAUA
rnacentral:ncRNA from 1 species